rnacentral:rRNA from 1 species
AGAGUUUGAUCCUGGCUCAGAACGAACGCUGGCGGUAUGCUUAACACAUGCAAGUCGAACGGGCUCUUCGGAGUUAGUGGCGGACGGGUGAGUAACGCGUGAGAAUCUGGCUUCAGGUUCGGGACAACAGUUGGAAACGGCUGCUAAUACCGGAUGUGCCUUAUGGUGAAAGAUUUAUCACCUGAAGAUGAGCUCGCGUCUGAUUAGCUAGUAGGUGUGGUAAGAGCGCACCUAGGCGACGAUCAGUAGCUGGUCUGAGAGGAUGAUCAGCCACACUGGGACUGAGACACGGCCCAGACUCCUACGGGAGGCAGCAGUGGGGAAUUUUCCGCAAUGGGCGAAAGCCUGACGGAGCAAUACCGCGUGAGGGAGGAAGGCUCUUGGGUUGUAAACCUCUUUUCUCAGGGAAGAAUGAUGACGGUACCUGAGGAAUAAGCAUCGGCUAACUCCGUGCCAGCAGCCGCGGUAAUACGGAGGAUGCAAGCGUUAUCCGGAAUGAUUGGGCGUAAAGCGUCCGCAGGUGGCAAUGUAAGUCUGCUGUCAAAGCGUCUGGCUCAACCAGAUAAAGGCAGUGGAAACUACAUAGCUAGAGUAAGGUAGGGGUAGAGGGAAUUCCUGGUGUAGCGGUGAAAUGCGUAGAGAUCAGGAAGAACACCGGUGGCGAAAGCGCUCUGCUGGACCUUAACUGACACUGAGGGACGAAAGCUAGGGGAGCGAAUGGGAUUAGAUACCCCGGUAGUCC